UCUCCCCUUCUGCGCUUCAGCACAGGGUGUUUUUUCCGCUCCCUGGGCAGUGGAAGCCGUGCGGUAUCGGUUUCUCGACAAUCGGCCCUAGCGGCUGGGUGAGGCUACGGAGCGCCGAGUCAUGGAUCGGGCUGGGGACUCCUGGGCUAGGAUUGGGUUAGGCUGGGUCGGGCCGCCAUUUUGGAUGCUAAGGCGUCUCGCUGCGGGAAGGUGAGUCGCCGCCCGCUGCUGGGGGAAGGGGCAGUCUCGUGCGUGACAGCGGCACGAGACUGGGGAGGGGAGAAGAAGUGAGAAAGGGGCCAGCGGGAGUUCUCAGGAAAGACACCAAAUGUCACAAGAGCUGACAGCCCUGAAGAGCCUCCUGUAAAAAGGAGGCCUGCAGUCAUCACUACACUUUCUUUCUGAGCCGCUGCUGUCUUCCUGUUAAUCUGGUUGAUCUUCACUUCCAUCUCAUUGAGUAUCCUUGCCUUCUUUUCCUCUCAGUGAUGGCUUUGAGAGCUAGGCUUCUUUAAUUCAUCUAACAAGUAACAUGAAAGCAGCCAACAGCGUACUCUGAAUCUGGGAGAAUCGUUGGAAAACUGAGAAAGCAGGACUAGAACAAGAGUGGUGGACACCUAAUCUGGAGAAAGUUUCCUGUCCAAGUGAGCUGUUUUAUCCUCUGACUGAAACUGCUAUGAAUUUCCUUCAGAAGAAUUAAGUGACUAGUUUCUUGUCCAGUUUUUAAAGAGUUUGCUUAAAGUUUUAGUCUCCCAGCCCUACAAAACAUUCUGCAAUUAGCAAUUUAUCUGCAACUCCCAGACCUGAUGAGUUCCACCUUCUCAGAUUCAGACCAGACUUCUCUCUAUUUUCAUGUUAAUUGUGCAUUUAAGCCAAGAAGUUAGCCUCAAGGCCAUCACUGACACAGGAGCUCCAUUACAGGGAUCUGAGCUCCAUGAGUACCUGUGACAGCCCUGUCAGCUGGCAGCAGAUGCAAGAUCUAUUCCUGGACUUCUGGAUUGCAGCUUUAUGUGCCUGGACAGUCUCCAAUAUAUGAUAUACUCAUGUUAGUUGAAGUGUAUCCUCUAGUUCCUGAAAAUUCUGACAUCCCAGAGCAGUCAGUUCCAAAUGGUAACAUCGAGAUUGGAGAUGCCUCUGCCAACUCCCCACUCCAACCCCAUUCUCUAAAUGAUAUAUUCUCCCCAAGGCCAUCUCCAGUUUUCCAAUCUAAAGCAAGUCAUCUCCUUUUCAUGCUCUUCCAGAGUUACCAGCUGUGCACCUGACCAACCAUCCACAUAUUUGUGUGAAAAUAAUGAAACUUGAAUAUACAACUGCCACUAAUCAAAUACUAUUAAACAGCUAUACAAUAAAUUAAUAUUAGUAUUCAAAAUAAUAGUAUCAACUGUCACUAUAACUAGCUAACUACUGUCUUAAAAGAUAGAAUUUACUCAACAGAAGAAAAUAAAUGUAGCUGGGGUUUUUUUUAUAUUUGAACAAAAAACAAGUCAGGAAGUAAUUCACCUCUUCUUUUUCCCAGUUAGUAUUAUGUACUUUAUAAAAAUCUAUAACUGCAGUUCAUAAUAGAAUACUGGUCUAAACUGAUAAUGCCAUCCAAAAAUUCAGUCUGGAAAAAACUGGCCUACACUUACAAUGUAAGUUGACAUAGCGAUGUCACUCAGAGGUAUGCAAAAUCCACAUUAUUGAGCAAUAUAGCUAUGCAGACCCAGCUCCCAGCGUAGAUACCGCUAGGUGCAUAGAUAGGUCACUCAGGGAAAUGGUGUUUCUACAUUGGCAGAAAAAUCCCUUCUGUCACUGUGUCUAUAC